UGAGGACAUCAGGUCGGGUCAUCGGGUUUGACUUCAAAACGGUGCCGUUUUGAAGCAUUUUGGGACUAGACGAAACGGUGUUGUUUCCAAAAUUUUUCAAAACCCUCAUUUGAAACACUAAUUCCAAAAAAAAAAAACUUAAAAGUUCUUCCAUUCCUUUCUCUGCUUGGCCGACUCAAGGGCCUCAUCCCAUGCGCCUCCACCCAUCGUGGCUCAUGGCUCGGGAACAACGAAAAAGAGAGGCGUAUCUUGGUUCGAUAUCCACGCCGGAGAAAGGGUCUCCGAUGGUCGAAACCGCAAGUUGCGUUCGGUCAACGAAGGCAGGUGGCCAUUUUGUGCUAGCGUGCCAGGAGAGUUGACCCUCGAGCGGAGUGCACGCUGAUAGAGGGGACCAAGGAGACCUAGGUGCGACACCUAAAUUUUUUCCUUUCCCUUGCUGUUUAGUUUUGAGGGCUAGGGUUAAUUUGGGUUAUGUUUUUUUGUUUGGGCUAGGGUCUGUUGGGUUUGGUUUGGGGUGGGUUUAAUUCAUUUGGGCUUUGUUCUUUAGCUCGGGCCAAAAUUGGACUGUACACAUGCCAUAACCACAUGAGAACACGAAUAUUAGAGUGCUUGAAACCUCUAGCAAUCAAACCACCUUUGCUAAGGUCUACCCCAUAUAA